CCUACGGGAGGCAGCAGUGAGGAAUAUUGGUCAAUGGGCGCGAGCCUGAACCAGCCAAGUAGCGUGCAGGAUGACUGCCCUACGGGUUGUAAACUUCUUUUAUAAAGGAAUAAAGUGAGGCACGUGUGCCUUUUUGUAUGUACUUUAUGAAUAAGGACCGGCUAACUCCGUGCCAGCAGCCGCGGUAAUACGGAGGGUCCGAGCGUUAUCCGGAUUUAUUGGGUUUAAAGGGAGCGUAGGGGGGUUGUUAAGUGAGUUGUGAAAGGCUGCGGCUCAACCGUAGCAGUGCAGUUGGUACUGGCAGGCUUGAGUACAGUGGAGGUAGGCGGAAUUCGUGGUGUAGCGGUGAAAUGCUUAGAUAUCACGAAGAACUCCGAUUGCGAAGGCAGCCUAC
rnacentral:rRNA from 1 species